UCCAGCCGGCUUUACACCAGAAAACAUACAUACUCGGGCGCAUUUAGACGAGCACCAAGCAAGUGCACGUCUUCCUCCAUGGACAGGUCCAUGAACCCCUUCCAUACAGCGGUCAUAGCGCUCUCGGUGCUCCUCCUUGUGUGCUUCGUUAACCACGGGCAAUGCAGAACCUUGGGUCAUCAAGACAUGGGAAGCAGCAGCAAGAUCAAUAUAUCACCGGGCGGGCUGUGCGUCAAAACAUCCUGCUCCGGUGUCACAGCGCACGUGUGUUUCUGCUGUUUGAUAGACAGUACCUGUCAUAGUUCAUUGGCCGAGUGCGAGAAAGAGUCAUACUGUCAAAGAUCUUCCACCCUAGACGCCGCUGCGGCGACGACCCCUGCUCCGUCGACGCCCACCGGUCUAAUCUAAUGGAGUACAUGGGUCGCAUUUCUGAAUAUUUUGUAACUUUCGCUCCUUGGUUGCUCGAAUGUCUGAAAUUCUAAAUGAAAGAGGUUUCGAGAGUUGAGGAUUAAUUUAUCUGAUGUGUUUCCUUU